AUACGAACGGUCAGAUCUCCUGUUCUGUUUCCACCAUCCUGCGAUUUGCAGAAAACCCCCUCAUGUCUAUUCUGUUCCUCUCCCGUCCCUAUUCCAUAGGACAUCAGUACAGAACAUCGAGAUCCCCUUCUUCUCCACCUCUCAGCUCCCCAUUUCCCAUCUCAGAUCGAGCAGGCGAGCACCAUGGCUAUGGUGCCCCACCCAGCUUAGUCCAGCAUGCCAGAUCUCGUGCCAGAUAGAUCUUCUCUUGGUCGCACCUCGUAGCCUCGUCCCCUCGCCUCCAUGUGCUGUUAGGCUCUCGAUCGUGGGACGAGGGCGAGCGCCGCCUUGACAAUUAGGAGGUCUGCCGCAUUGCCAAGGAGAUCUGCAAGUUCUCCACCGGUUCGACCUUGCUCUCCAGGCAAUCAGAUAUUCAGAAUCUGGCUGUAAAAGAAGUGCUCUCGUUUAAUUGGAAAAAAACUGAAGCUACGUAGUGUUCAGCUCUUCCAAGAGCAGCUUGUAUGGAUCUCGUGGAGAGUGAGAUGUCAUCGUGUCCUAUGGAAACAAAUGAUUGUGCUGAUGCUGAAUCCAUUGUUGUCACGAGCUCUACCAUAUCAGAUUGCUUUAGUACGCCAACGAUCAGCAGGAGCAUUCCAUUUU